rnacentral:rRNA from 1 species
GGGCGAAGGCGACUUUCUGGACGAAAAUUGACGCUGAGGCGCGAAAGCCAGGGGAGCGAACGGGAUUAGAUACCCCGGUAGUCCUGNCCGUAAACGAUGGGUACUAGGUGUAGGAGGUAUCGACCCNUUCUGUGCCGGAGUUAACGCAAUAAGUACCCCGCCUGGGGAGUACGACCGCAAGGUUGAAACUCAAAGGAAUUGACGGGGGCCCGCACAAGCGGUGGAGUAUGUGGUUUAAUUCGACGCAACGCGAAGAACCUUACCAGGUCUUGACAUUGAUGGACAGAACCAGAGAUGGUUCCUCUUCUUCGGAAGCCAGAAAACAGGUGGUGCACGGUUGUCGUCAGCUCGUGUCGUGAGAUGUUGGGUUAAGUCCCGCAACGAGCGCAACCCCUAUCUUAUGUUGCCAGCACUUUGGGUGGGGACUCAUGAGAGACUGCCGCAGACAAUGCGGAGGAAGGCGGGGAUGACGUCAAAUCAUCAUGCCCCUUAUGACCUGGGCUACACACGUACUACAAUGGGAGUUAAUAGACGGAAGCGAGAUCGCGAGAUGGAGCAAACCCGAGAAACACUCUCUCAGUUCGGAUCGUAGGCUGCAACUCGCCUACGUGAAGUCGGAAUCGCUAGUAAUCGCAGGUCAGCAUACUGCGGUGAAUACGUUCCCGGGCCUUGUACACACCGCCCGUCACACCACGAAAGUCGGAAGUGCCCAAAGCCGGUGGGGUAACCUUCGGGANCCAGCC